UUUCACCAACGGAUUGAGUCUGCAAUGAUUUGUGGUCUUCAGCUUUUGUCAAGUUCCUCUCUCAGCAAAGAUGCACCCACAUUGCAACCAUACUUCAGAUUAUACACACCUUCUUCCUGCAAGCAUCAAACAAUACAUAUCAUAUUCAAGUGAAUUCGCGACAGUGAAUAGCUUUUUUACCGGCGGUAAAAAUCCACAAGCAAAAGGGAAUCAAAGUAUUUUCAGAAGAAGGUACAGGGUACAUGUUACCUUUUUCAGAAUAAACACCAAAAUAGGGUAGACAAACUGGCGGCACCAAAAUCACUUCCAAGUUUGACAUCCCUUUGAUCUUAACGGCCAAGGAAAAACCCUAACAGUGGGACUAUAAAAGGAGAGGAUACUGUUCACAGAGGGGGGGAGAAGAUUAGCGGCUACUGAGAGAGCUGAAAAACCCUAGUUUUUGGAGAGGAUUGGCGGCUACCAUUCAGAAAAGAAAAGGAGAGAUUUGAAGGCAACGCUUACUCACAUUCGUCGGUCGAACUCGCCGCAACCGGUUAGCUUCCUUUCCGAGCUUUAUUUCCAUGUUUCGAUUAUGCUUUGAACUUCAUGUUUGAUUUAGCAACACCGCUGCCUGUUUGAUUGUGAUGUUAACUUGUUGUUAAGACUUUGAUUUUCAAAAUGGAAAGAAGACUGAGCUUGGUCAUUCGUUCGUUACUGUUUUCAACAUGAGCUUUGGUUAUUCGUAGUUACUAUUUUCAACUUUGUGUUUUAUUUAAAAGGUUUGGUGCGUCUUUUGUUAUAUUAUGUAUUAGUGUUUGAAACUAUAUAACAAGGAUGUCUAUCUGGUUGAG
rnacentral:lncRNA from 1 species